rnacentral:tRNA from 1 species
AGCGGGGUGGGCCAGUCUGGAGUGGCCGCCGGACUCAUGAUCCGGAGAACCUCGGUUCAAAUCCGAGCCCCGCUACCA